UUUCUCUAGUAAGUGGGGCAAAAAAAGGGGGAUAAAUGGAAAGACUGUCAUCGUUGAUAUUGAUGUAAGUUCCUAAACGAAACACUCAAUAGUGACCGUUGAGUUAUGUCUCUAUAUCUUGCAAUCGGCAAAGCUUCACUUUUGGAAUUUGAAUGAUAAUACAUGGCCAAGAAAGAAGAAAUCGUCGAAUUAAUUUUAUGAGUUUUCUAUCGAUAUUGAUAUUGAUGUUCUUUCUGGUUUUAAUGGGGCUUCUCUUGUGGGAAAGAAUGGUAUCUCGAAGAAAAUUGGAGGAGGGAUUGGUGGAAGAAAAGCACUUAAUCAUAUAUCAAAGACUUCUGCUCUACAAUCAUCAAAGAAAACAUUUUGCUGAAUCCUUGAAGAGAAUAACCACAUCUCAUUGCCAGAAAACAUUUGGAGUUGCACUUAAUAGUGUCUCAAAGCCUUCUGCUCUACAAUCAUCAAAGAAAAACUUUUGCUGAUCCAGUUAUCCUUUGGCAGAUGAUGUCCCUGUGCAUCUAGGAGCAUCUCCACAUGCACUUUAACUAUCAAUGAAGUCGAAGCCAGAAAGCCAAAGGAAGCAUUAUGUCCAAGUGGAAGAGCUGCCAGAACUGAUCUUUUAUGAUCAGGUCCAUUGUAUAUCUUUUUCCCCUAGUGCUGCAAAUCAGUAAAGCCGCGAUAUAUCAGUUGUCCGGAUGACGGUGUUCUAGAUUUUUCAUUGCUUUGGAACACCUAUCCAUUUAAAGCAUUGAUGGACAUUACUUUCAACUCAAGGAUCACGCACAGCCCUUUGAAAUAUAUCCGUUAUAGUUAUUGGCCAGUGUUGGUGGAGAAGACAUAAAAUUUGGCAUUAUGGUCAGCCUUUUCCAAUGGAUACAAAAGAGAAGAAGCGGUCCAUGUCCCGGAAGUUUGUAGAUACCUUUUGCAGGAAGCCUCAGGAGAAUUUUGCUUCUAUACGACUCACUUUUAUUGCCUUAAGGAGCACGUGCUAGCCAGCUACCCCAUUGACGCAGUUUCCAUGUCUUGCGAAUCUGAUGAUGCCCCCCAUCUCCUCAACUGGCGGAAAGGCGGCCCUAAAACUACCUCAAUUUCCGGUAACUUCUCUCCUGUUGCCAUAGAGGGACCGGUUCAAGGGUGAACCCAAGAAAUAUGUCAAGUCUGGAGGAGACAAUGCAAAAAAAGGGACCCGAUCGCUAACAAGUCAAGCAGAAGAGAAACUGAACAUCUAAUUAUGUGGUAAAGGAAGCUCCGACCAUCUGAGGAAAUCCCUCAAGUGAAUCAAAUUAUUCUGAAUACCCUCACAGUUCGUCCAUGUUCUUAGUAAAAGAAGACAAAUAUAUAUUUGAUUAUGUGUUUUCUUUUAUGGCAAAAUCAGAAGAUAAUGAUGAUAAUGAAGAGGUAAUCCUAUUUGUCUUCAACUGAAAUGUGAAUAUUUUUAUACUAAUUGAUUCAAUGAGUGAACUAACCACAUGAAGAAUA